rnacentral:misc_RNA from 1 species
GAUGGCUUGUAGCUUUGUUGAACG